GGUAGUUAAGUCAGAAGUGAAAUCCAAUAGCUCAACUAUUGAACUGCUUUUGAAACUGAUUACCUAGAAUAUGGGAGAGGUAGAUGGAAUUUCUGGUGUAGGGGUAAAAUCCGUAGAGAUCAGAAGGAAUACCGAUUGCGAAGGCGAUCUACUGGAACAUUAUUGACGCUGAGACGCGAAAGCGUGGGGAGCAAACAGGAUUAGAUACCCUGGUAGUCCACGCCCUAAACGAUGUACACUAGUUGUUGUGAGGCUCGACCUUGCAGUAAUGCAGUUAACACAUUAAGUGUACCGCCUGGGGAGUACGGUCGCAAGAUUAAAACUCAGAGGAAUAGACGGGGACCCGCACAAGCGGUGGAGCAUGUGGUUUAAUUCGACGAUACACGAAGAACCUUACCUGGACUUGACAUAGUAAGAACUUUCUAGAGAUAGAUUGGUGUCUGCUUGCAGAAACUUAUAUACAGGUGCUGCACGGCUGUCGUCAGCUCGUGUCGUGAGAUGUUGGGUUAAGUCCCGCAACGAGCGCAACCCUCGUCAUUAGUUGCUAACAGUUCGGCUGAGAACUCUAAUGAGACUGCCUACGCAAGUAGGAGGAAGGUGAGGACGACGUCAAGUCAUCAUGGCCCUUACGUCCAGGGCUACACACGUGCUACAAUGGGGUAUACAAAGAGCCGCAAUACGGUGACGUGGAGCAAAUCUCAAAAAUAUCUCCCAGUUCGGAUUGUAGUCUGCAACU
rnacentral:rRNA from 1 species